rnacentral:rRNA from 1 species
CCUGACUGCUAUCGGAUUGAUACUAAGCCAUGCGAGUCAUUGUAGCAAUACAAGGCAUACGGCUCAGUAACGCGUAGUCAACCUAACCUAUGGACGGGGAUAACCUCGGGAAACUGAGAAUAAUGCCCGAUAGAACACUAUACCUGGAAUGGUUUGUGUUCCAAAUGAUUUAUCGCCAUAGGAUGGGACUGCGGCCUAUCAGUUUGUUGGUGAGGUAAUGGCCCACCAAGACUAUUACAGGUACGGGCUCUGAGAGGAGUAGCCCGGAGAUGGGUACUGAGACACGGACCCAGGCCCUAUGGGGCGCAGCAGGCGAGAAAACUUUGCAAUGUGCGAAAGCACGACAAGGUUAAUCCGAGUGACUUGUGCUAAACGAAUCUUUUGUUAGUCCUAGAAACACUAACGAAUAAGGGGUGGGCAAGUUCUGGUGUCAGCCGCCGCGGUAAAACCAGCACCUCAAGUGGUCAGGAUGAUUAUUGGGCCUAAAGCAUCCGUAGCCGGCUCUGUAAGUUUUCGGUUAAAUCUGUACGCUUAACGUACAGGCUGCCGGGAAUACUGCAAAGCUAGGGAGUGGGAGAGGUAGACGGUACUCGGUAGGAAGUGGUAAAAUGCUUUGAUCUAUCGAUGACCACCUGUGGCGAAGGCGGUCUACCAGAACACGUCCGACGGUGAGGGAUGAAAGCUGGGGGAGCAAACCGGAUUAGAUACCCGGGUAGUCCCAGCUGUAAACUAUGCAAACUCAGUGAUGCAUUGGCUUGUGGCCAAUGCAGUGCUGCAGGGAAGCCGUUAAGUUUGCCGCCUGGGAAGUACGUACGCAAGUAUGAAACUUAAAGGAAUUGGCGGGGGAGCACCACAAGGGGUGAAGCCUGCGGUUC